ACUUCCUGCUUGCCUGUAUCUAUGAAUAUGUUAUCUUACAUGGCAAAAGGGACCCUACAGAUGUGAUUAAGUUAAGGAUCAUAAAAUGGAAGAUUAUCCUGGAUUUAUUGGGUAGGACCAAUAUAAUCACAAUGGUGCUUAUAAGACAGAAGGUGGAAACAAAUGAGUCAUGGAAGGAGAUAUGACGAUGGAAGCAGAAAUCAGAGAAAUGCAGCCACUAGCCAAGAGAUGCAGGCAGGCCCUAGACAUUGGAAGAGGCAUUGAACAGAUUCUCUCCUAAUAGCCUCUAAAAAGAAUGCAACUCUGCAGAACCUCUGAUGAUUUUCGUGCUGUAAGAGCUAUUCUGAACUUCUGAUUUCCAGAACUGUUAAAACCUUAAAUGUACAUUAUUAUAUAAUAGUACAUUUGUGGAAAUUUGUUACAGCAUCAGCAGGAGUAUAGUACAAGACUUUAAUGAGAUACACUUUACUCCUAUCAAAUUGCUUUUUUUUCCCCCUAGGUAACACUAAAUGUUUAGUAAAGUUUAGUAAAAAUAGAACUAAUAUCCACCACUGAUAAAGUAUAAGCUGAAAUAUUUUCAGAAAGUAAGCAGCAUAGACAAAGGUCUAAAUCCUUAAAGUAAUUUUAAUACUUUGACCAGGUAACUAAAUUUCAGGAAUUUAAGAUGAGAAAAUAAUUAGAUAUGUGUAUAAAUACCUUUACACAGUGCUGUGCAUUCAAACAUUACAUAUGCUGAAACUAGAUUCACUUAAAUGGUUUGGAUAAACUUUACUGUAUCCAUGCAAAGAAAUAUAUUACACAGUUGUCAACUGCAUUAAAUGCCAAAGUAAAGAGUCAGACACCUAAGUUAUUGUAUAUUAUAGCUCUAAUGUUAUAAAAUAUAACUAUAAAUCAAUAUUUGUGAAAGAAAAAUAUUAAUAUGAAAUAUACUAAUAUAACUCAUUUUUGAAUGAGAUGUGUGAUGUGUCUUUUUGCCUUUACAUCGUCCUGAUAUUUUUUCAUUUUUUCAUGAAGGGUUAGUACAUUACUUCCAUAAUCAUAAAAAGUAAAUAUGAAAUGUAUAUUUAACAUGUUAUUAUGAGGAAACUCAAUAAAUAAAGCAUAUCAUCACUGUUAUGCUGGAAACGAAUGCUGUAAGCCCAGAAUCCUCACAGUAAGAUAGCAUCAUUCUGUUAACUGAUAGUUGGAAAGCUAUUGGCUGGUAUGUCUGUCA
rnacentral:lncRNA from 10 species